rnacentral:rRNA from 1 species
AGAGUUUGAUCCUGGCUCAGAAUCAACGCUGGCGGCGCGCUUAACACAUGCAAGUCGAACGAGAAAGCAGGAGCAAUCCUGUGAGUACAGUGGCGUACGGGUGAGUAACACGUGGAUUAUCUGCCCUGGAGUGGGGAAUAACGCUGGGAAACCGGCGCUAAUACCGCAUAUUCCCGAGAGGGGAAAGCAGCAAUGCGCUCGAGGAGGAGUCCGCGGCUGAUUAGCUAGUUGGUAGGGUAACGGCCUACCAAGGCUAUGAUCGGUAGCCGGCCUGAGAGGGCACACGGCCACACUGGCACUGAAACACGGGCCAGACUCCUACGGGAGGCAGCAGUGGGGAAUCUUGCACAAUGGGGGCAACCCUGAUGCAGCGACGCCGCGUGAGCGAUGAAGCCCUUCGGGGUGUAAAGCUCUUUCGGCAGGGAAGAUUAUGACGGU